rnacentral:misc_RNA from 1 species
UUGCGUGUUAGUAAUGAGAAAGGUUUGUGGUCUCUGCCGCAGUUAUUUGAACAGCAUGUACAGCGUUGCAGCUUCCUUUUGCUGAAUUAUGUAUGUACGGGAAAGAGAAUGAUGCGCAAUAAAUGCUGAUUCGACUUUCAUGGAGACAAGGUGAUUAGCUUCUUUCUUGCCACUGGUGUUGGUGCUGGUUUUGCUGUCAGUUUUGAGUUUUGAAGUCCCUUCUCAAUUAUUUAUUUGCUGCUAUUGAAGACCCUACUGUUCCAGAGAUACAAGAAUCCAAAGCUAGUUAUAAUAAAUACCUUAACAAAGGAUUAUUGCUACUGCUGUUUUAUCUCUGGGAUUCCUUUGCAGGGCUAUGGUUUCAGUACUUUCAUCCAUCAACCGAACUGUGAGAAAGAUUUUCUUCAACUGAUCUUUUCAGAAACCAUACAAAUACAUGUAUCUUUACAUCUAUUACUAAUUACUUCACAGUUCAUUUCGUCACACCAAACAUGGCGUUAGAGUGCUCAUUGGUUUCUCCUUCCUAA